GCAUGGGUGGCUCAGUCGGUUGAGCGUCAGACUUUCAGCUCAGGUCAUAACCUCGUGGUUUGUGGGUUCAAGCCCCACAUCAGGCU
rnacentral:tRNA from 1 species